CCUACGGGUGGCAGCAGUGAGGAAUAUUGGUCAAUGGGCGCGAGCCUGAACCAGCCACGUAGCGUGAAGGAUGACUGCCCUACGGGUUGUAAACUUCUUUUAUAAAGGAAUAAAGUGAGGCACGUGUGCCUUUUUGUCUGUACUUUAUUAAUAAGGAUCGGCUAACUCCGUGCCAGCAGCCGCGGUAAUACGGAGGAUCCGAGCGUUAUCCGGAUUUAUUGGGUUUAACGGGAGCGUAGAGGGGUUGGUAAGUCAGUUGUGAAAGUUUGCGGCUCAACCGUAAAAUUGCAAUUGAUACUGGCAGUCUUGAGUACAGUGGAGGUAGGCGGAAUUCGUGGUGUAGCGGUGAAAUGCUUAGAUAUCACGAAGAACUCCGAUUGCGAAGGCAGCUUACUAAACUGCCACUGACAUUGAUGCUCGAAAGUGUGGGUAGCAAACAGGAUUAGAUACCCUAGUAGUC
rnacentral:rRNA from 1 species